CAUCUACAUGUAAAUGCCUUUUAGUUAUAAAACUAAUACCAGAAGGUUAAAUAUGCACGAUAAGCACUCUUGCUUAUGCUUGCACUGAACUUACUCAAAAA